UACGUAGGGGGCAAGCGUUGUCCGGAUUUAUUGGGCGUAAAGAGCGUGUAGGCGGUUUGUUAAGUCUGUUGUGAAAGCCCUGGGCUCAACCCAGGAAGUGCACUGGAUACUGGCAGACUUGAAUACGGGAGAGGGUAGUGGAAUUCCUGGUGUAGGAGUGAAAUCCGUAGAUAUCAGGAGGAACACCGGUGGCGAAGGCGGCUACCUGGACCGAUAUUGACGCUGAGACGCGAAAGCGUGGGUAGCAAACAGG
rnacentral:rRNA from 1 species